rnacentral:rRNA from 1 species
UACGUAGGGGGCUAGCGUUGUCCGGAAUCAUUGGGCGUAAAGAGCGUGUAGGCGGCCCGGUAAGUCCGCUGUGAAAGUCGGGGGCUCAACCCUCGAAUGCCGGUGGAUACUGUCGGGCUAGAGUGCGGAAGAGGUGAGUGGAAUUCCUGGUGUAGCGGUGAAAUGCGCAGAUAUCAGGAGGAACACCAAUUGCGAAGGCAGCUCGCUGGGACGUAACUGACGCUGAGACGCGAAAGCGUGGGGAGCAAACAGG